rnacentral:rRNA from 1 species
UACGGGGGGGGCAAGCGUUGUUCGGAAUUACUGGGCGUAAAGGGCUCGUAGGCGGCCAACUAAGUCAGACGUGAAAUCCCCAGGCUCAACCUGGGAACUGCGCUUGAUACGGCAGAGCUAGAGGAUGGAAGAGGGUCGCGGAAUUCCCAGUGUAGAGGUGAAAUUCGUAGAUAUUGGGAAGAACACCGGUGGCGAAGGCGGCGACCUGGUCCAUUACUGACGCUGAGGCGCGACAGCGUGGGGAGCAAACAGG